UUCAAUCAAUUAUGCUAUUCUCUGGAUUUCAGAUCAUGCAUUAUUUGAUUUCAAACAUUGUAAUCUAAUUGCAAUUCUAAAAACAAGAUACAAGAUACAAGAUCAAAAGAGAACAAAAAUCUGCAUGCUAAAUAAUUUCAGCAACCUAAAAUUUCAGCAUGCAGAAAAUCCAGCAAGCAUAAUCCUUUAAAAAUCUGAUUAAAAAUGUGGUAAUCAAUCCUUAAAUCUUAAUUAUGCUCCCUAGAACCAUGGCUCUGGUACCACUGCUGAGAUACGCUCCGUUCGAUGCGACGUUUGCAGCGAAAUUCGAACGGAACGUCGUUCAUCGUAUGAACAUGCCUCGGAUCGUAGAAUUCAAAAAUUUUUCUAGAUCCAAAUCUAGAAGAUCUUUGAACUCAUCAGGGAGGGAAGAUUAGGAUCUGAGAAGGGUUGAUUAAGAUUCAUAAAACUGAAACAAAAAUCAGAAGUUAUAAAUUUAAAGAUCUCAUCUUCAAAAAUUCUGCAGGUGUAGAACACCGCAGCCUGAUGAUCUUUCUAGGUUCCUGCUUAAGCCGCACACGGGUCCGGCCUCUACAGGUAUCCACACGAGGAUCUAAUCAUUUGAGAUAAGGUCUUACCGGAGUGCUAACUCCUUGCAAAGAUCUCUCA
rnacentral:lncRNA from 1 species